rnacentral:piRNA from 1 species
UGAUGGAUAACAUAUCAAGGUAAGACCCUGU